CCUACGGGAGGCUGCAGUGGGGAAUAUUGGACAAUGGGGGCAACCCUGAUCCAGCCAUGCCGCGUGUGUGAAGAAGGCCCUCGGGUUGUAAAGCACUUUCAGUGAGGAAGAACGCCUGGUGGUUAAUACCCAUCAGGAAAGACAUCACUCACAGAAGAAGCACCGGCUAACUCCGUGCCAGCAGCCGCGGUAAUACGGAGGGUGCGAGCGUUAAUCGGAAUUACUGGGCGUAAAGCGCGCGUAGGUGGCUUGAUAAGCCGGUUGUGAAAGCCCCGGGCUCAACCUGGGAACGGCAUCCGGAACUGUCAAGCUAGAGUGCAGGAGAGGAAGGUAGAAGUCCCGGUGUAGCGGUGAAAUGCGUAGAGAUCGGGAGGAAUACCAGUGGCGAAGGCGGCCUUCUGGACUGACACUGACACUGAGGUGUGAAAGCGUGGGUAGCAAACAGGAUUAGAUACCCUGGUAGUC
rnacentral:rRNA from 1 species